rnacentral:rRNA from 1 species
GGGUGCAAGCGUUAAUCGGAAUUACUGGGCGUAAAGCGCACGCAGGCGGUCUGUCAAGUCGGAUGUGAAAUCCCCGGGCUCAACCUGGGAACUGCAUUCGAAACUGGCAGGCUUGAGUCUUGUAGAGGGGGGUAGAAUUCCAGGUGUAGCGGUGAAAUGCGUAGAGAUCUGGAGGAAUACCGGUGGCGAAGGCGGCCCCCUGGACAAAGACUGACGCUCAGGUGCGAAAGCGUGGGGAGCAAACAGGAUUAGAUACCCUGGUAGUCCACGCCGUAAACGAUGUCUACUUGGAGGUUGUGCCCUUGAGGCGUGGCUUCCGGAGCUAACGCGUUAAGUAGACCGCCUGGGGAGUACGGCCGCAAGGUUAAAACUCAAAUGAAUUGACGGGGGCCCGCACAAGCGGUGGAGCAUGUGGUUUAAUUCGAUGCAACGCGAAGAACC